rnacentral:piRNA from 1 species
UGGCAAUUGUUUCAUCCCAUAGGCAAC